rnacentral:rRNA from 1 species
UUUUAUGGAGAGUUUGAUCCUGGCUCAGAGUGAACGCUGGCGGCGUGCCUAAUACAUGCAAGUCGAACGAUGAAGCUUCUAGCUUGCUAGAAGUGGAUUAGUGGCGCACGGGUGAGUAAGGUAUAGUUAAUCUGCCCUACACAAGAGGACAACAGUUGGAAACGACUGCUAAUACUCUAUACUCCUGCUUAACACAAGUUGAGUAGGGAAAGUUUUUCGGUGUAGGAUGAGACUAUAUAGUAUCAGCUAGUUGGUAAGGUAAUGGCUUACCAAGGCU